CGGCUCCCCGGGGCUGCGCGGCGGCAGCGGCGCGGAGCGGAGCGAGCGGGGGAGCCGCGCUGCGAGGAGGAGCCGCCGCCUCAUCCUGCGGCACCGGCCCGGCCAGCGCAGGUGGCAGUGUAGAAGCCAAGAACAAAAACUGGCAGAAAUUGUGUUCUGUGUACGAGAAUAUGAAGAGUGUACUCAUGACUAAGCACAGGAACCUGGAAAACCACAGGAUUGUCUUGAAAAUAGUUUGUGGGAACCUGAAGAAUGGAUUAAAGAUGAUGAAUGGAAGGCAGAGAAGUUAUUAACAUUUCACAAAAUAAAUAAAUUCUUUAAACUUUCA
rnacentral:lncRNA from 1 species